GGGCGUGUAGGGGGGCAAUGGGGGCUGUGAGGGGGCAACGGCAGCGCCGGGGCGGGGGCGUGCGAGGCGGCAGUGGCGGCAAACGGGCGCGCCUGGGACACGAGCGGCGGCGUGUGGGGCCGGGGGGCGGCGGCGGCUCCGCAGGGGCCGAGGCGGCAGGGGGUCCCGGGGUUGGGCUCGGGGCCCGGGGGCGCGGGACGCGUCCUGUGCAGACACGCAAAAACAUGGAGUUUGCUGCGGGAACGGGCAGCCGCGCAGGGGAGGCGUGAGGAGGUGGCGGGAGGACAGAGCAUGGCUGCCCGGGGACGGAGCAAAGGGCCUGCGGCGGGGCAGGGAGGGCAGGGGGCGGCGGGGCCAGGGCCCUGCCUGGAGCGAGGGGGCAGGGGCUGGAGAAGGAGGCAGGAAGGUGGCCAGGGCAGGAGCGAGGGAAGCCGUGGCCAGGGGAGGAGGCAGGGCAGUAGUCCGGGAAGGAGCGAGGGGGACCGUGGCCACAGAAGGAACAGGAUCGUGGCAAGGGAAAGAGCGAGGGGGUCUGUGGCCAUGGAAGGAGCGACAUCGUGGCCCGGGAAGGAGCGAGAGAGGCCAUGGCAGGAGGCAGGGCAGUAGUCAGGGAAGGAGCGAGGGGGGCCAUGGCCGGGGAAGGAGUGGGAUUGUGGCCAGGGAAGGAGCGAGGGGGCCGUGGCCGCAGGAGGAGUGAGGGAGGCCAUGGCCAUGGCAGGAGGCAGGGCAGUAGUCACCGAAGGAGCGAGGGGGGCCGUGGCCGGGGAAGGAGCAGGAUCGUGGCUGGUGGCCAGGGAAGGCUCAGCCCUGCCUCGAGCCGCACCGUGAUUGCCAGUUCAUUGUGGCUGCCCUGCAGCACAUAAAAUAACUCACCAGAUCUUGUGCAGCUGAGAAAACGGCAGAAGAGAAAAGUCCUUUUCAGUUCUCUUCCUAGAUACCAAACUGCAACAGAGAAAUGCUGAGUGCUUCCUGAGGGCUGCUAUGACUGGUGAGGAUCACUCUUUGCCAUUACCUCUUGAAUUUAUACUGGUUCCUGUAUACAGCAGCCUGGAGUUCACUGGUAGUAGAGAAAAAAAUUAAAUAUACAACUAGGACCACCCUAAAGCCCAAAGAAAAACAACUAAUGUUUGUUAGCUUGUGGAUUUGAGGCAGGGGCGGGAAGAGUUGAUUCCUUAUAUCAAACAACGUGGGGCUUCAUGAAGCUGAGAACCGAGUGAUACAAGUUUUUUUCCUAAGAGUGUAACACCAUGGAAAAAUCACAUCUUUUAACUAUUGUGGGAAAUUAGCUGGUCAAAUUGAGCUACUUCAUAAUUUUGCUGCAGGCUGUACGCAGGGCUGUUCACUCCCAACAAUAGGAAGUGUGUGUUGUAGCCAAGAGCUCUCAUACAUUCCUGUGCCAAUGGCUUGUAUUAAAAUGAGGGAUUCAAAACAAGAAGGAAAAAGUAUGUGUCUCAUCAGUAACAUGCCUCAUCAGCUCUCUCUUCCCAGAAGGCAGCCAGGCUGACUCCACAGAGACAGAAAGGCCCAAGCCAGGGAAAGAAAGCCCCAACAAUUUCACAGCUACUCACACAGAAAUGCUUCCACACAAAACCCGCCUCUGCUUGGAGUCUGGCUAGUUUGACCUGCAAAGCAGCAGAAAAAAAAAACAUUACAAAAUUCAAGUCUGAACACGAGUUUCCACUGAAAGAUGAUGAAAGUGAAACGUCAAGUUACAGAAAGAGGCAUUUUGGUACAUCUCUCCACGACACAUGCUUCUGAGAAGCUCAUAAAUGGUGAUUCCAUUAUCCUAAAACCUCGAAGGAUCAAAACCGCUGAGCAUCAGAGCAAAGUGUGUCCUGUCACCAAAAGAAAAAAAAGCCUUUCUCAUGUUCCCUCCUGCCUGCCAGGAAGAUGACCUGCUGGCUUUCCUGUCCCCCAAAACAGUGAGGUGCGGGACAGGCUAGAGGUUGAUGACAGAAAGUUAUUUCCAGACAAGGAUGAGAGACAGCUCACAUGCCGUGUCCUACAUACCAGGUGAGAAAGAAGAAUGAAAAGGCUAUGAACAGCUGCGUGGUGGGUCACCAGAGAAUCUCAGGGAGCUAAAAACAGCUUUCCAAGGGGACUGGGGGUGGUGUUUGUUUCAGAAGGUGACCUCCCCUCCUCUUGCAAGGAAACUGAAACAGGCAGUGGUGACCCCUGAUCUUUGUAGUGCCAUGGCGGAAUGCUCCCCCCAGUCCUCCAGGAGCUGCAAACUUCAGCAUUCUUAUCAGAUAGUGAAAGUGAAGGUGUUUUUUGCUGAUCAAUCCCAUUUGGAUAACGAGAUUGGGUGAGGUGACCCCCAUCUCUAUGGGAGCAGGACCCACCCUGGAGCAGGAGCUGGCUUGGCUGCUUUGAAAUGCUGCGUCUUAUCAGCAGAGCAGAGUUUAAAGCCUAGAAAACUGAUAAUAUUUGUUAGUGAUUAACAAUGUUAACAUGCUGAAGCAAAGCAGCACUUUGCCUCUUCCAAGCUCGCUGUGAAUAUGAAUAAGUGAAGUAGUCUUUUCCCGGGGGUGGGGGUAAACAAGGUCUUGUUCUCGUUUCACAGGAACACAAAGGCACUUGCUCAUCAUUCAGCUUUUUGCUGACCUUGGAAAUCCAGCUGGAACCUCACUUGGAAGACAGACUGGCUCUUACCUCAGGUUGCUAACUUGACAGUAAUAAAAUCCUUGACACAGCUUAA